rnacentral:rRNA from 1 species
UACGUAGGGUGCGAGCGUUGUCCGGAAUUAUUGGGCGUAAAGGGCUCGUAGGCGGUUUGUCGCGUCGGGAGUGAAAUCCACUGGCUUAACUGGUGGCUUGCUUUCGAUACGGGCAGACUGGAGGUAUGCAGGGGAGAACGGAAUUCCUGGUGUAGCGGUGAAAUGCGCAGAUAUCAGGAGGAACACCGGUGGCGAAGGCGGUUCUCUGGGCCGAUACUGACGCUGAGGAGCGAAAGCAUGGGUAGCGAGCAGG